GAUGAACGCUGGCGGCGUGCCUAAUACAUGCCAGUCGAGCGAACGGACGAGAAGCUUGCUUCUCUGAUGUUAGCGGCGGACGGGUGAGUAACACGUGGAUAACCUACCUAUAAGACUGGGAUAACUUCGGGAAACCGUAGCUAAUACCGGAUAAUAUUUUGAACCGCAUGGUUCAAAAGUGAAAGACGGUCUUGCUGUCACUUAUAGAUGGAUCAGCGCUGCAUUAGCUAGUUGGUAAGGUAACGGCUUACCAAGGCAACGAUGCAUAGCCGACCUGAGAGGGUGAUCGGCCACACUGGAACUGAGACACGGUCCAGACUCCUACGGGAGGCAGCAGUAGGGAAUCUUCCGCAAUGGGCGAAAGCCUGACGGAGCAACGCCGCGUGAGUGAUGAAGGUCUUCGGAUCGUAAAACUCUGUUAUUAGGGAAGAACAUAUGUGUAAGUAACUGUGCACAUCUUGACGGUACCUAAUCAGAAAGCCACGGCUAACUACGUG
rnacentral:rRNA from 1 species